rnacentral:rRNA from 1 species
UUAAAAUGAGAGUUUGAUCCUGGCUCAGGAUAAACGCUGGCGGCAUGCCUAAUACAUGCAAGUCGAACGGAGGUGCUUGCACCUCAGUGGCGAACGGGUGAGUAACACGUAUCUAAUCUACCUUCUAGCGGGGGAUAACUUUUGGAAACGAAAGGUAAUACCGCAUGUGGAUGUUAUUAUCGCAUGAGAAAACAUUCAAAGAUCCGUUUGGAUCACUAGAAGAUGAGGAUGCGGCGUAUUAGCUAGUAGGCGGGGUAAAGGCCCACCUAGGCGAUGAUACGUAGCCGAACUGAGAGGUUGAUCGGCCACAUUGGGACUGAGAUACGGCCCAGACUCCUACGGGAGGCAGCAGUAGGGAAUUUUUCACAAUGGACGAAAGUCUGAUGAAGCAAUGCCGCGUGAGUGAUGACGGCCUUCGGGUUGUAAAACUCUGUUGUAAGGGAAGAAAACAUAGGAGAGGAAAUGCUCUUAUCUUGACGGUACCUUACCAGAAAGCCACGGCUAACUAUGUGCCAGCAGCCGCGGUAAUACAUAGGUGGCAAGCGUUAUCCGGAUUUAUUGGGCGUAUAGGGUGCGUAGGCGGUUUCGCAAGUUUGAGGUUAAAGCCCGGAGCUCAACUCCGGUUCGCCUUGAAAACUGCGGGACUAGAAUAUCAGAGAGGUAAGCGGAAUUCCAUGUGUAGCGGUAAAAUGCGUAGAUAUAUGGAAGAACACCAGUGGCGAAAGCGGCUUACUGGCUGAUUAUUGACGCUGAGGCACGAAAGCGUGGGGAGCAAAUAGGAUUAGAUACCCUAGUAGUCCACGCCGUAAACGUUGAGUACUAAGUAUUGGGGAUUACCUCAGUGCUGCAGCUAACGCAUUAAGUACUCCGCCUGAGUAGUAUGCUCGCAAGAGUGAAACUCAAAGGAAUUGACGGGGACCCGCACAAGUGGUGGAGCAUGUGGUUUAAUUCGAAGCAACACGAAGAACCUUACCAGGGCUUGACAUACAGUGCAAAGCUACAGAGAUGUAGUGGAGGUUAACAUUGAUACAGGUGGUGCAUGGUUGUCGUCAGUUCGUGCCGUGAGGUGUUGGGUUAAGUCCCGCAACGAACGCAACCCUUGUCGUUAGUUACUAACAUUAAGUUGAGGACUCUAACGAGACUGCUAGUGUAAGCUAGAGGAAGGUGGGGAUGACGUCAAAUCAUCAUGCCCCUUAUGUCCUGGGCUACACACGUGCUACAAUGGCCGAUACAAAGAGUCGCAAUCUCGCGAGGGGGAGCUAAUCUCAAAAAGUCGGUCUCAGUUCGGAUUGAAGUCUGCAACUCGACUUCAUGAAGCCGGAAUCACUAGUAAUCGCGAAUCAGCUAUGUCGCGGUGAAUACGUUCUCGGGUCUUGUACACACCGCCCGUCAAACCACGAGAGUUGGUAAUACCAGAAGUACGUUUCCUAACCGUAAGGAAGGCGCGUCCCAAGGUAGGACUAGCGAUUGGGGUUAAGUCGUAACAAGGUAUCCGUACGGGAACGUGCGGAUGGAUCACCUCCUUUCUAUGGAG